rnacentral:rRNA from 1 species
UACGAAGGGGGCUAGCGUUGCUCGGAAUCACUGGGCGUAAAGGGUGCGUAGGCGGGUUUUUAAGUCAGGGGUGAAAUCCUGGAGCUCAACUCCAGAACUGCCUUUGAUACUGGCGACCUUGAGUCCGGGAGAGGUGAGUGGAACUGCGAGUGUAGAGGUGAAAUUCGUAGAUAUUCGCAAGAACACCAGUGGCGAAGGCGGCUCACUGGCCCGGUACUGACGCUGAGGUGCGAAAGCGUGGGGAGCAACAGG